UACGGAGGAUCCGAGCGUUAUCCGGAUUUAUUGGGUUUAAAGGGUGCGUAGGCGGCUCUUUAAGUCAGGGGUGAAAGACGGCAGCUUAACUGUCGUAGUGCCUUUGAUACUGAAGUGCUUGAAUGCGGUUGAAGACGGCGGAAUGAGACAAGUAGCGGUGAAAUGCAUAGAUAUGUCUCAGAACACCGAUUGCGAAGGCAGCUGUCUAGGCCGUUAUUGACGCUGAUGCGCGAAAGCGUGGGGAGCAAACAGG
rnacentral:rRNA from 1 species